UACGGAGGGUGCAAGCGUUAAUCGGAAUUACUGGGCGUAAAGCGCGCGUAGGUGGUUGAAUAAGUCGAUUGUGAAAUCCCCGGGCUUAACCUGGGAAUUGCAUUCGAUACUGUUCAGCUAGAGUGUGGUAGAGGGAAGCGGAAUUCCGGGUGUAGCGGUGAAAUGCGUAGAUAUCCGGAGGAACACCAGUGGCGAAGGCGGCUUCCUGGACCAACACUGACGCUGAGGCGCGAAAGCGUGGGGAGCAAACAGG
rnacentral:rRNA from 1 species